AGUGGCGGACGGGUGAGUAACGCGUGAGAAUCUGCCCUUAGGACGGGGACAACAGCUGGAAACGGCUGCUAAUACCCGAUGUGCCGAGAGGUGAAACAUUUAUGGCCUGAGGAUGAGCUCGCGUCUGAUUAGCUAGUUGGUGGGGUAAGAGCCUACCAAGGCAACGAUCAGUAGCUGGUCUGAGAGGAUGAUCAGCCACACUGGGACUGAGACACGGCCCAGACUCCUACGGGAGGCAGCAGUGGGGAAUUUUCCGCAAUGGGCGCAAGCCUGACGGAGCAAGACCGCGUGCGGGAGGACGGCCUAUUGGUUGUAAACCGCUUUUGAUAGGGAAGAAGUUCUGACGGUACCUAUCGAAUCAGCAUCGGCUAACUCCGUGCCAGCAGCCGCGGUAAUACGGAGGAUGCAAGCGUUAUCCGGAAUUAUUGGGCGUAAAGCGUCCGUAGGUGGUUGUUCAAGUCUGCUGUUAAAGCGUGCGGCUUAACCGCAUAUCAGCAGUGGAAACUGGACGACUAGAGUGCGGUAGGGGUCAGGGGAAUUCCCAGUGUAGCGGUGAAAUGCGUAGAUAUUGGGAAGAACACCGGUGGCGAAAGCGCCUGACUGGACCUGCACUGACACUGAGGGACGAAAGCUAGGGGAGCGAAAGGGAUUAGAUACCCCUGUAGUCCUAGCCGUAAACGAUGGACACUAGGUGUUG
rnacentral:rRNA from 1 species